GCUGGGCAUGGUGGCACACGCCUGUAAUCCCAGCUACUCAGGAGGCUGAGGCAGGAGAAUUGCUUGAACCCAGGAGGUGGAGGUUGCAGUGAGCCGAGAUCGCGCCACUGCACUCCAGCCUGGGUAACAGAGUGAGACUCUGUCUCUU
rnacentral:SRP_RNA from 1 species